rnacentral:rRNA from 1 species
AGUGAACGCUGGCGGUAGGCCUAACACAUGCAAGUCGAACGGCAGCACAGUAAGAGCUUGCUCUUACGGGUGGCGAGUGGCGGACGGGUGAGGAAUACAUCGGAAUCUACUUUUUCGUGGGGGAUAACGUAGGGAAACUUACGCUAAUACCGCAUACGACCUACGGGUGAAAGCAGGGGAUCUUCGGACCUUGCGCGAUUGAAUGAGCCGAUGUCGGAUUAGCUAGUUGGCGGGGUAAGGCCCACCAAGGCGACGAUCCGUAGCUGGUCUGAGAGGAUGAUCAGCCACAAUGGAACUGAGACACGGUCCAGACUCCUACGGGAGGCAGCAGUGGGGAAUAUUGGACAAUGGGCGCAAGCCUGAUCCAGCCAUACCGCGUGGGUGAAGAAGGCCUUCGGGUUGUAAAGCCCUUUUGUUGGGAAAGAAAAGCAGCAGGUUAAUACCCCGCUGUUCUGACGGUACCCAAAGAAUAAGCACCGGCUAACUUCGUG